GGAGCUUCCAGUGGCAGCCUGUCUGCUCCGCUGUCAGCUUACACGGCGGCGCUCCCUGCCCAGCCGCAGGGCCCGGCCCCCGGCGCUCGCAGCAUCCCGGCAGGCCUGCCCGAGGCCUGCGGCUUUCUCCUCUCCUUCCAAGUCAAAGAACCGGCUGGUGGUCCACUGAGCCUCCAGAUAAAGCUGUCCAAGCCCGGGGUUGGUGCAAGAGCUGGGACUGUGAGACUACGCCAACCUUUCCCUUGUGUAAUGUCAAUGUCGGCUAUCACUUUGGCAGAAUCACCCAGCUCAGUGAAGACAGAAAACCCCUCCUUUCCUCCUGUUUUUUCAUCUGCUGGUGGCAUUCCAAGUGACCUUCCCUCAUAAAUAUUGGUGAGUGACCACAUGGGGAAAGCAGUUCCUUCGUGCAAAGAAACUUGUUUCAAAAUGCUGUGUUGACCUGAGGGGUUUCCAUUUUCUCAA
rnacentral:lncRNA from 1 species